GCUAGUGACGGGGCAGCAGCGGGGGGAAAACGUUGGGUGGAAGGGGGUGCCGGGUUGACUUGGGGUAAAGAGCGGGCAGGCGGUCGUUUAAGUGGAAUGUGAAAGCGCACGGCUCAACUGGGGAGGGUCAUUCGAUACUGAUCGACUUGAAGGCAGGAGAGGGAAGUGGAAUUCCGGGUGUAGUGGUGAAAUGCGUAGAUAUCCGGAGGAACACCAGUGGCGAAGGCGACUUCCUGGCCUGUUCUUGACGCUGAGGCGCGAAAGCUGGGGGAGCAAACGGGAUUAGAUACCCGUGUAGUC
rnacentral:rRNA from 1 species